UACGGAGGGGGCUAGCGUUGUUCGGAAUUACUGGGCGUAAAAGCGCACGUAGGCGGAUUUGUAAGUCAGGGGUGAAAUCCCGGGGCUCAACCCCCGGAACUGCCUUUGAUACUGUGAAUCUCGAGUCCGGAAGAGGUGAGUGGAAUUCCUAGUGUAGAGGUGAAAAUUCGUAGAUAUUAGGAAGAACACCAGUGGCGAAGGCGGCUCACUGGUCCGGUACUGACGCUGAGGUGGCGAAAGCGUGGGGAGCAAACAGG
rnacentral:rRNA from 1 species